GUGUGUAGGGAGUAAGGGUGGAGGUGGGUUGUUGAAAAGCAAGAGUGACCUCUCAGCAUCCACAGAGUUUAAUAGUCCAAAUAUCAAUUAGAUACUAUGCUACUUGCAAGAUUUCUAAGAUGUGACAGCCAACCUCUGCUUAAAAAUCCCCAGUAAUAUAAGUUAGGUUUUCAUUGUAGCUUUUCUUCUAGAUUGAAAUAGUAACUCUCCUGAAAUACCACAUAAUCCGUUCUUCUCUUCUGCAGUAGUGGAAUGUAGUGUAUGAUCAAAAUGCCAGCUCCACAGCACACUAGUUAUGUAAUCUUAUACAAGAGAUUUAACUCCUCAAGACCUCAGUUUAUCUUCUUUACAAUGGGAGCAGUAAUGAUAAUGACUUCAUGCAGUAUCAUGAGUUUUAAAUGCCAUCAUACUUGGCACAGUGCCCAGCAACACAGUGAAUCUAAAUUCUAAUUUUUUAAGGAUUAUUAUUGUGUUCUGAGAUCCUUUGCUUCAUUUGAGAAACAGAGGAAACAAAGAAAUGACUUGGGCUGAUUCAGAUUUGAGUUUGUUGUAUUGAGGAUCUGUGUCUUUGCCAGAGCAUCACAGUUUUUAAUCUUCAUCAUUGAACAAUGUAUUAGUCAGGGACUAUAGAAUUAAUACUUUUAGAUGCAUUUUGAUCAUUUAAUAUUUAGAAGCAAAGCAUAAAAUUACAAAAGAAUUGCCAUAUUGUUUGAAAAAGAGUAUAGGAGGAAAAACCCACUUCAGAAUGUUUGGAGUAUGCAACAGGAUAAUGAUUGUAAUGUGACUUAGCUCAGUGAUUGGUGAGUGACAAACUCACAUCGUAAUUACCUGAGAAGCAAUGUUGAUGCUUGAGGGCACCGACUGGAGUCAGAAAAUAUGGUCCACAUUCUGUCUUCACCACUCACUGGCUGUGCAGCUUUGGUUAAGUUUUCUAAACUCUGAGAUCCAGUUCCUUCAUCUGUAAAACAGAGUGAAUCAUGCGCUAUUCUGUGCUUGGAGUAAGGAAGGUGCUCAAAAAAGUUAGCUAUUAAUAAUAACACUUAUAAAGGGAGGAGGAGGAAAAACAUUUCAUACGGAAGAGCCAUUGAAAAGGCAGGAAAAAAGGCUUGGAGGAAACCUUGCAUUAAUGGAGUAUUUAUUUCCUAACAUUAUUUUUUAUGAUCUAUUUAUUUUUAUUGUGGCAACAUUGGUUUUUAACAUUAUACAAAUUUCAGGUGUACAUGGUUAUAUAUUUUGGUUUCUGUAUAGAUUGCAUGAUGUUCACCACCCAAAGACUAAUUAUAAUCCAUCACCACACACAUGUGCACAAUCACCAAUUUUGGCCUCCUCCUUCUCCAUUCCCCUCCAGUAAACAAUCCAAUCUCUGUUUCUAUGUGUUUGUUUGUCAUUGUUUUUAUCUUCUACUUAUGAAUGAGAUGAUAUGGUAUUUGACAUUCCCCCUUUUACUAAGUUCACUUAGCAUAGUAUCCUCACGGUCCAUCCAUGUUCUCACAAAAGAUCAGGUUUCACCAUUUCUUAUGGCUGAGUAGUAUUCCAUUAUGUAUAUAUACCACAUCUUCUUUAUCCAUUCAUCCCUUUUUGGGCAUCUAGGUUGCUUCCAAGUCUUGGUUAUUGUUAAUAAUGCUGCAAUGAACAUAGGGGUGCAUGCAUCUUUAUACCUUCAUGUUUUCAUGUUCUUUGGAUAAAUACUCAGUAGUAGAAUACCUGGAUCAUAUGGUAGUUCUAUUCUUAAUUUUUUGAGGAUUCUCCAUAUUGUUUUCCAUAGGUGCUGCACCAGUUUGCACUGUGACCAGUAGUAUAAGAGAGUUCCCUUCUCUCCACAUCCUCUCCAACACAUGUUUCCUGUCUUGAUAAUUAUAGCCAUUCUGACAGGCCUGAGGUGAUAUCUCAUCGUAAUUUUGAUUUGCAUUUCCCUGAUAUUUAAUGCUGUUGAAGAUCUAUUCAUGAGCCUAUUGGUCAUCUGUAUAUCUUCUUUGGAGAACUGUCUAUUGAGAUCUUUUCCCAUUUUUAGUUGGGUUGUUAGUUUUUUUUCUUGUUGAGAUGUAUGAGUUGGUUGUAUAUUUUGGAUAUUAA
rnacentral:lncRNA from 1 species